CUGCUCAAUGAAUUUUUAAAUUGCUGUGGUAUUUUGACUAUACAAAGGUAUUGUAAUAAGAUUUUAAUUGAAUGCUAAAAGAAUGGAAGUUUAGAAAAAGUCUUUUUAAAAAAUAAAAAUUAAAAUUUUUUUAAUUUGUGCAGAAACAAUUAUUUAUAUUAAAGACAAGAAGACCCUAAGAAUUUUCUGGUUCAAUAAUUUAUAUAUUUAAUUUAUUAAACCUUGGUUGGGGCGAUCAAAAAAUAUUAAUAACUUUUUUUCAUUAAAAUGAUCUAUUAUUAAUAAAUUAAUGAAUUAAAUACUCUAGGGAUAACAGCGUAAUAAUUUUUGAUAGAUCUUAUAGACAAAAUAGUUUGCGACCUCGAUGUUGGAUUAGGAUUCUUUUUUGGUGAAGAAACCAAAAAAAGAAGUUUGUUCAACUUUUAAACUCCUACUUGAUCUG
rnacentral:rRNA from 1 species